GAUGAACGCUGGCGGCGUGCUUAACACAUGCAAGUCGAACGGAAAGGCUCCUGCUUGCAGGGGUACUCGAGUGGCGAACGGGUGAGUAACACGUGGGUGAUCUGCCCUGCACUUCGGGAUAAGCCUGGGAAACUGGGUCUAAUACCGGAUAGGACCACAUUUUGGAUGGUGUGGUGGAAAGUUUUUCGGUGUGGGAUGAGCUCGCGGCCUAUCAGCUUGUUGGUGGGGUAAUGGCCUACCAAGGCGUCGACGGGUAGCCGGCCUGAGAGGGUGUACGGCGACAUUGGGACUGCGAUACGGACCAGACUCCAACGGGAGGCAGCAGUGGGGAAUAUUGCACAAUGGGCGCAAGCCUGAUGCAGCGACGCCGGGUGGGGGAUGACGGCCUUCGGGUUGUAAACUGCUUUCGCUAGGGACGAAGCGCAAGUGACGGUACCUGGAGAAGAAGCACCGGCUAACUACGUG
rnacentral:rRNA from 1 species